UACGGAGGGAGCUAGCGUUGUUCGGAAUUACUGGGCGUAAAGGGCGCGUAGGCGGCCUUCUAAGUCGAACGUGAAAUCCCCGGGCUCAACCCGGGAACUGCGUCCGAUACUGGAAGGCUUGAAUCCGGGAGAGGGAUGCGGAAUUCCAGGUGUAGCGGUGAAAUGCGUAGAUAUCUGGAGGAACACCGGUGGCGAAGGCGGCAGCCUGGACCGGCAUUGACGCUGAGGCGCGAAAGCCAGGGGAGCAAACGGG
rnacentral:rRNA from 1 species